AUUGAACGCUGGCGGCAUGCCUUACACAUGCAGGUCGAACGGUAACAGGUCUUCGGAUGCUGACGAGUGGCGAACGGGUGAGUAAUACAUCGGAACGUGCCUAGUAGUGGGGGAUAACUACUCGAAAGAGUGGCUAAUACCGCAUGAGAUCUACGGAUGAAAGCAGGGGAUCGCAAGACCUGGUGCUACUAGAGCGGCCGAUGGCAGAUUAGGUAGUUGGUGGGAUAAAAGCUUACCAAGCCGACGAUCUGUAGCUGGUCUGAGAGGACGAUCAGCCACACUGGGACUGAGAAACGGCCCAGACUCCUACGGGAGGCAGCAGUGGGGAAUUUUGGACAAUGGGCGCAAGCCUGAUCCAGCAAUGCCGCGUGCAGGAUGAAGGCCUUCGGGUUGUAAACUGCUUUUGUACGGAACGAAAAGCCCCGGGUUAAUACCCUGGGGUCAUGACGGUACCGUAAGAAUAAGCACCGGCUAACUACGUGCCAGCAGCCGCCGUAA
rnacentral:rRNA from 1 species